rnacentral:rRNA from 1 species
AUACGUAGGGGGCGAGCGUUGUCCGGAAUGAUUGGGCGUAAAGGGCGCGUAGGCGGCGCGGUAAGUCUGGAGUGAAAGUCCUGCUUUCAAGGUGGGAAUUGCUUUGGAUACUGCCGCGCUUGAGUGCAGGAGAGGUUAUCGGAAUUCCCGGUGUAGCGGUGAAAUGCGUAGAGAUCGGGAGGAACACCAGUGGCGAAGGCGGGUAACUGGACUGCAAUUGACGAUGAGGCGCGAAAGUGGGGGGAGCAAACAGGAUUAGAUACCCUGGUAGUCCACGCCGUAAACGAUAGGCGCUCGUCGUCGGCGGCAGACAGUCGGCGGCCAAGCGAAAGCGAUAAGCGCCCCACCUGGGGAGUACGGUCGCAAGGUUGAAACUCAAAUGAAUUGGCGGGG